rnacentral:ncRNA from 1 species
CGCGAUGCCAGGCCGACAGGUCUGGACGCCCCAAGGCGGCGGGGGAAGACCGGUGCGAGUCCGGCGCUGUCCCGCAACGGUAACCGGCCUAAACGUCCCGCCCAUCUUUCUGGUCGGAAGCCCGAGUACCCGCUUCGCGGCCCUGCCCCGUA